rnacentral:rRNA from 1 species
UGCAGUCGAGGGGCAUCACGUGUAGCAAUACAUGGUGGCGACCGGCGGAAGGGUGCGUAACGCGUGAGCAACAUGCCCGUAUCAGGGGGAUAAACCAGGGAAACUUGGUCUAAUACCGCAUAAUAAGUUUCUAAGGCAUCUUAGGGAUUUUAAAGUUUUGGUGGAUACGGAUUGGCUCGCGUGACAUUAGCUAGAUGGUAAGGUAACGGCUUACCAUGGCAACGAUGUCUAGGGGUUCUGAGAGGAAGAUCCCCCACACUGGAACUGAGACACGGUCCAGACUCCUACGGGAGGCAGCAGUGAGGAAUAUUGGACAAUGGAUGGAAAUCUGAUCCAGCCAUGCCGCGUGCAGGAAGACAGCCCUAUGGGUUUUAAACUGCUUUUAUACGGGAGCAAUAAGGACUAUGCGUAGUUUGAUGAGAGUACCGUACGAAUAAGCACCGGCUAACUCCGUGCCAGCAGCCGCGGUAAUACGGAGGGUGCAAGCGUUAUCCGGAUUUAUUGGGUUUAAAGGGUGCGUAGGCGGUUUUAUAAGUCAGCGGUGAAAUUUUUCAGCUUAACUGGAACAAUGCCGUUGAUACUGUAAAGCUGGAAUAUGGUUGCUGUGGGUGGAAUGUGUGGUGUAGCGGUGAAAUGCUUAGAUAUCACACAGAAUAUCGAUUGCGAAGGCAGCUCACAAAUCCAUUAUUGACGCUGAUGCACGAAAGUGUGGGGAUCAAAC